UGGGGAAUAUUGCGGCAAUGGGGGAAACCCUGACGCAGCAACGCCGCGUGAUUGAAGAAGGCCUUCGGGUUGUAAAGAUCUUUAAUCAGGGACGAAACAAAUGACGGUACCUGAAGAAUAAGCUCCGGCUAGCUACGUGCCAGCAGCCGCGGUAAUACGUAGGGAGCAAGCGUUAUCCGGAUUUACUGGGUGUAAAGGGCGCGCAGGCGGGCCGGUAAGUUGGAAGUGAAAUCUAUGGGCUUAACCCAUAAACUGCUUUCAAAACUGCUGGUCUUGAGUGAUGGAGAGGCAGGCGGAAUUCCGUGUGUAGCGGUGAAAUGCGU
rnacentral:rRNA from 1 species